rnacentral:rRNA from 1 species
GACGAACGCUGGCGGCGUGCUUAACACAUGCAAGUCGAACGGAGCGAAUGAAAGCUUGCUUUUAUGAGCUUAGUGGCGAACGGGUGAGUAACACGUAGACAACCUGCCGAUAGGAUGGGGACAACAUUCCGAAAGGAAUGCUAAUACCGAAUGGCGUGUAGGGGAGGCAUCUCCCGUACAUGAAAGAUGGCCUCUGAAUAUGCUAUCACCUAUCGAUGGGUCUGCGUCUGAUUAGCUAGUAGGUAAGGUAACGGCUUACCUAGGCGACGAUCAGUAGCCGGUCUGAGAGGAUGAACGGCCACAUUGGGACUGAGACACGGCCCAGACUCCUACGGGAGGCAGCAGUGGGGAAUCUUCCGCAAUGGGCGCAAGCCUGACGGAGCAACGCCGCGUGAGUGAAGAAGGUCUUCGGAUCGUAAAGCUCUGUUGAAGGGGACGAACGAUCGAGGGGCGAACA